AUCCCAUCUAACGCUAAAACUCUACCAACCCUAAAUACUAAAAAAUAAUCUCAAAACUUAAAGUUAAAAAAACCUAAACUCUACCGAUAUGUAAUUUGCUGCUGUGAUAUUCAAAUAACAAAAUACAUAGCAGAUUUAAAAUCUUACAUCCAUUAUUUUAAUUGCCAAACUAUUUUGAAAGUUGUAUCUUAUGAAUAAUAAAGGUAAAUUAUAUUUUAAUAACGUUAAAUUUUGUUAAAAUAGAAUGAAAAACUAUUAUCACAAAUAAAUAAAGAAUUUUGAUGAAAUUUGAAAAUCUUCGAAUCAAUAACAAUUAAUUAGUAAUAUUUCAAAAACCCUUAAACUAUUAUAGCUGUAGAAUCUCAAAAAAAAAAUUAAAGUUCUCAAACAUUUAUUUGCCAAUAACCAUCCUUAAAGCUUUGCUCAUUCAUAAAAAAUAAUAUUAUUUACAUAAAUUGCAAACAAGUUUUGUUUUUUGACUAGAGACCCAAGUUUAAAUUAUACCACUUCUUAAAACAAUAACCAUCCUUAAAUCUUUGCUCAUUCAAAAAAAUAAUAUUCUUUACAUAAAUUGGAAACAAGUUUUGUUUUUUGACUAGAGACCCAAGUUUAAAUUAUACCACUAAAAUAUUUUAAUAUUUAAUUGUUCAGAAAUAUAUAUAUUUAUAUAUUCGAGAGUAGACAAUGCAUAGAUGAUACUAAAUUGAUCGCAAGAAUUCUUUUUGGAAAACACAAUAUAACUAGUAUAGUAUACAAAGAACUUUUCAAAAAUUUAUGAAAAUGUUUAAGCCCGCAUCGCGGGCAAAACACCUAGUUACUUUUAUUACAAAACUAUAUUAGUCAUUAGAUGAUAUAUUAUUAAUAAAUUAUAUAACUACUUAAAAUCCUAAUUAUUUUUAAAGGAGAUAUUUUUUUUUUGGUUCUCCCAAUCUCCAAUGUACCACCUUUACUCUGUUACUUUAUUUUUCUGUAGAUCUUUAUAAUUAUUUAAAAAAUUCAAAAAUCUUAAAGCAAAAUAUCAUAAACUAUGUUCUGAUAUUCUGUGAGACAUUUCUCAAAUGAAAUUGGUGUUAAUAUUUUUUUUAAACUAAUUGGUGUUAAUUUUAAGGUGAUUUUGAUCAUAUGUAUUGCUAUAAUAUACAAUUUUUGUUAUAAAAAUGCUAAAAUAGAACUAAGAAUCAAUUAAUUGAAUUGUCAAUGGAAUAAUAAUUCAAGCUCACAGCAACAUGGUUAUUCAAAAUUGAUCAAAUGAUUUUGCAAGAAUUGUUUGUGUGUUUAUAUUUAUUUUUGUAUACUAAUUAAGUUCUAAUAAUAUGUACGUUGAUUAUAUAUUAAAAAUACAGUAAAUUAGUUAUAUUUAUGGAGCAUAAUUUUAUGGUUGUGCUUUAGGCGCCAAAUUGAUCCGGACCGGCACUGAUUAGUGAUGUCAUUUCUCUCGCUAGUUCCAAUGUCAUUGAGAAUUAUAUAAUCGUUGAUUUACUAAAACCAGAAUUGUAAUGCUUCAAAUAUUAUAUAGCCCACUUCAAGCAUGGUUAUCUUUAUAUAUAAAAUACAGUUUGAAUCACUCCCAGGGUGUACACAUCAGAUGCCAGCGCAACAAUUCAAGUGAUGUCCGGCCGACACCUGUCUUAAAUGAAACGCAGCGUAUCAAGCUUUUGUGCAUACCCUCUGUUACCAGAAAACCAAAAAGGUAUCAAAGGUGGAAGUAGGAACAAAGGUCUACGUACGCAUCACUUGACGAGUGGCUCGAGGGACAUUUGGCAAAGAUAUUGCAAGAAAAUCGAAGAUCAAGAAGAAGUGAGAAAAAAAGAGAGCCUUUUAAGCUCCUUCACAGUUCUUAUAGACUUUAAGCUUUUUGGCAUUUUGAAAGAGUUUUGGAUUUCCGUCUUGAGGAAGUUUAGUAUAGAUGUUACUCUCUCUUUUUCUUAUGAAGGUUCUGGUUCAGUCACAGUAAUAAUGCUCAGAGUAAAUAAGUGGCUGCUUCAGUCCAAUUUCUCCGUAUUAUGUUUUAUUCUCUGUUAUGUCCUCUGUUUCUUUUUUGCCUUUGUUAUAUGUGUGUGUGUUCUUGAAAGAUCUAUGCAGAAUCAAAAACUAUCUUUUCUAAUCUACAAGCUAAUAAAAAAAGAUUAGUUACUUAUUUAAUACAAAGGUUGCUAUGUCUUAACUACAAAGUUAUUACUGAGAAUAUUAUACAUCAAAAGACUUUUAGUUCGAGGAUGAUCAGUAUUUUGCAAGUUUUUACUUUCUACCUUAGUUUCUGAAUAAAGAGUCUGGCCUAAGACUCUGAACGUUCUUAUCCUUAAAAGUCUCCAUGCUUUGUGCAUUUGAUUUCGUAGUCUUUUAGACAGUUUUUAUUUUUCUUCUUCUUCUUCUCUAUCUUAUUCUCCUGCAACUGUUUGCAGAGCAUGAGAAGAUAUAAUAUUAUAAUUAGAAUCAGAGAGCACACGUUUCACAGUUGAUGUGAGGAUACAAAAUUUAGGCCCACAGGGCCACCACUGUAGGCAACAUCUCUUUCCAAACACUGUCACACAGUAUGCACAGCAACAUACUAGGCCGCAGCCUAAGAACAUGAGAAAAAAACAAGUAAGCAGUGCUUUAAGCCUUGAAUAAAGGCAGAACAAACUGAAAUAAAUGCACAACAAAGACACACAAAUACAUGACCUAAACAGAUAAUUUAAAAGCGCUUGAAAGUGAAGUUGUAUAAACUGUGAAAGCAUAAACAACUGAGCCGUAGCAUCGGCGAUAUACACAUUGUUGUUUUAACAAUAACAAGAACAUUGCAGUUGGCCUUUUCAAGUACGUAACAUUCGAGGAAGUGAGCAGAUGGGGGAUGGGUGUGGGCACGACAGUGAGAUUACGACUAAGGAGGAAAGAAAAUUAGACAUAGUGGCCGUCACAGUAACUGAACUAAGAGACUUUCAGAAUGGUAAGUGCUAAAAAGAGUUCAAUAUAUCUAACAACUCAUCAGUGAUGCAAGAAUGCGCACAUUAUACCAAAGGAAGGUUCCAUAAAUCCAUACCAGGUCAAACACAUGUCACCCUCAUACUUAAUGAACACAUUACAAUCUAUAUUUUGUUAUACAAUCACGUACAAUCAAUUGACUCCA